CCUACGGGGUGCAGCAGUGGGGGAUAUUGGACAAUGGGGGCAACCCUGAUCCAGCGAAGCCGCGUGAGUGAAGAAGUAUCUCGGUAUUUAAAGCUCUGUCAGCCGGGAAGAAAGAAAUGCCGGUACCUGACCAAGAAGCCUAGGCUAACUACGUGCCAGCAGCCGCGGGAAUACGUAGGGCGCAAGAGUUAUGCGGAAUUACUGGGUGUAAAGGGAGCGUAGACGGUGAGGCAAGGCUGGAGGUAAAGGCGGGAGGCCAACCCCCGGACAGGUGUGGAAACUGUGUAACUUGAGUGCGGGAGAGGUAAGCGGAAUGCGUGGUGUAGCGGUGAAAUGCGUAGAUAUUACGAGGAACACCGGUGGCGAAGGCAGCAUACUGGAGUGUAACUGACGUUGAGGCUCGAAAGCGUGGGGAGCGAACAGGAUUAGAUACCCUUGUAGUC
rnacentral:rRNA from 1 species